GACAGAGGCCCCGAGCGUUAGGCGGAAUCACUGGGCUUAAAGCGUGUGUAGGCGGACCGGUAAGUACCUUGUGAAAUCCCACGGCUCACCCGUGGAACUGCUGGGUAUACUGCCGGUCUCGGGCCAACUAGGGGCAACUGGAACAAGCGGUGGAGCGGUGAAAUGCGUAGAUAUCAUUUGGAACGCCAACGGAGAAAUCAGGUAGCUGGGGGUGUGCUGACGCUGAGACACGAAAGCCAGGGGAGCGAACGGG
rnacentral:rRNA from 1 species